rnacentral:rRNA from 1 species
UACAGAGACUGCAAGCGUUAUUCGGAUUCACUGGGCGUAAAGGGUGCGCAGGCGGCCAAGUGUGUUAGGCGUGAAAGCCCGGGGCUUAACCCCGGAAUUGCACCUAAAACUACAUGGCUAGAGCAUUGGAGAGGGUAGCGGAAUUCACGGUGUAGCAGUGAAAUGCGUAGAUAUCGUGAGGAACACCAGAGGCGAAGGCGGCUACCUGGACCACGACUGACGCUGAGGAGCGAAAGCCAGGGGAGCAAACGGG